CUAGCAACAAAGACUUCAAUAUUAUGUGGUAAGCAAAGCAAAAUAAGAAAGAAGAAAAGAGAGAAGAAAAGGAGAAAAUCUUCUCCAUCUUCCACCUUCAUGUACAGGAAAGAUCAAGAGAAAAAAAUGAAAAACUUUCUUAGUCAUCCUACUCUACAUCACAAAAAUGGAAGGAAAUCAAACUAUUUUCUUGUUUCUCUUUCAUACUAAAAUAUCACGAAAUCAGUCCCAAAUUAUUAUGCAACCAAUUUUAGGAUUUUCCCACCGAUUUUGUGUAGGCAUGCAUUAAGUAUAAAUUGGAAUCCCUUAUUCCAAUUUAGGGUAUGCAAGUAUAGUCAGAAAAAAUAAGGAGAGUACUAUAAGGGAGUUUUGUGAAGCUGUAGUAGCGGAGUCGGGAGUUUAAUUGAGCGAGAAGUCUGCUGUUCACGGAGCUUUGAUAGGUCGGCAGAUACUCAUACAUGAACACAUGCUUACGACGUGAACCAUUGUUGUUUGAUCUAGAAAUUGAGCAGACAGCUAGAAAAACAAAGAAAAGAAUUCCUAGAAAAACAACGAGAAGAACGUCUUUAUAUUGAGAAUAAGUUUAAAGAUGAAGAAGAGAUGGGUGAUGAAAAACUUUGAACGAGCUAGCUGCACAUAAGCUGGAUGAUGAACCAUCGGACAUCGUUUUUCCAAUCCUUGGAAAAACCUCUAAAGUUAAACUCGAGUUUUGUCAACCUUUUACCAAAAUUCUAUGGCCAUAGAGUUCUAUAGCUCAUUGAAUUCAGUUUCCUAGUAUUGGAAGUUAUAAAUUACCAAGUUUGAAGACUCAACUGUCGACCAAGCUCUGAUAAUAAAGUGCACAUCUGAGUGUUGUUGAUUAAUUUCAUGGGUCUGCAGGA